rnacentral:lncRNA from 10 species
AAAAGAUUUGGGAACUGACAAGUAUAGUUGGUUAAACCACUAAAAUGGUAGUGAUCAACUAAAGAACAAGUACGUGUAGACAGAAGCCCAAAGACUAAGCCCUGGGAUAGGCCUGUGUUUAAGGAUAAAAAGAGGAGGAAAAUCCAGCACAAGAGAUGGAGGAAGAGCAGUCAGUGAGCUAGAAGGAAAACCAAGAGUUCCUAAAGCCAAAUGGGGAACAUGAGCACACCAAAUUCUUCAGAGAAGUUGAAUAAGAUGAGGAUGAGGAACUCAUCACUGGCUUUGGCACAUAGAGGUCACUGGUCCACGGUUUCAUUGAAGUGUUGGGAUGAGAGCCCAUUUGGAACGGGCUCAAAAGAGAACAGGAAGAGGACUGGAGACAAGGAGUCCAGACAACUCUUUCAAAGAGUUUAGCUGAAAAGGGGUACAAAGAAAUGGGACCAUAUCUGGACACGGUAUAUGGUCAAGAGAGGGAGCUCUUGCAGCUGGCAAGUGUUCUGAAGUGCUCUGUGGUGGGACACUUAGGUUACUAUUAGCACAAUUAUUUUGCUGUUAUAAAUAGUGCUGCUGAAUGAAGGCCACAUCAGGAUCUUGUUUUUGAAAAUAAAUGUCCUUGUUCUGGGUAUGUGUUUUGUCAACAUGACAUCCUGCUGAUCAUGAAUUGGUUCCACAUUUCUAUUUUGUUCAAGAUGGAAGGCUUUGAUACUGUGCACUCAGGUUUUCUCUGGUCAACACUUCCAGAUCCUCCGCAUUUCAGAACCCACAGAGAACCCCUGAGGCCCCUGGGCUCAGUUCCCUCCCUGACCAACUUUCUGGGCCCUAGCCCCAUGUGUCCCUCCCCUGUAGUAUACUGUAGCCACACAGAAAGUUUGAGAAGGGCAGGGGCUGUGGGCCCAUCAACUCCUUUAUUCUUGAGAACAUCUGCCUACCCCUCGGGAUCCUGGGGAGAGGAAGGGACCCUGUGAGAACCUAAUGACCGCCCCAGGCAGCAAGGCCUUCAUGAGCCAGGGUGCUCUCUGGGACCGUUUCUUACGCAGCAGGAGAGUCGUGGGCCAACCAGGCCUGCCCUGAGGACUGGGCCAGAGCCCUUGAGGGGCCCGCAGGGAAAGGCCAAAAGGACCAAGUGCUCAUUAAAGACCAAGGCAGGCUGGACUGAGCUAGACACCCAGGCUCCAGGUUCCUUCCUCUGAAACAUCUGCAGGUUUUUGGGAGGCGAAGGGCUCUCAGCUGCCAUGGCUGAUGUCUGGGGACUUUUUCUUCAGCUCCAGAUGGUCUACACAGGGUUCGUAUACACAGGCCCCCUAGCCGCACGCAUGCGUGCAUGCACGCGCGCACACACAUACACACACACACCCCAGAGUAAAUUCACUGAUAUACACCACUAUGAACACACACAAUGACU